UCUUGUUUUAAGGUCUGUCUUUUUAAAUUUUAUGUCUGUGUUCGUUCUUGACGUCUGGUUUUGUUUUUUACCUUUGUUUUUUAUACGACCGCAAAAAUUUUUGCGGUCGUAUAUUGGUAUGACGUUGGCGUCGUCGUCGUCGUCGUUGUCGUCGUCGUCCGGCGUCGUCCGGCGUCGUCCGAAGACACAUUGGUUUUCGUACUCUAACUUUAGUUUAAGUGAAUGGAUCUCUAUGAAAUUUUACCAUAAGGUUCAAUACCACAAAAGGAAGGUUGGGAUUGAUUUUGGGGGUUAUGGUACCAACAGUUAAGGAAUUAGGGGCCAAAAAGGGGCCAAAAAUAAGCAUUUUUGUAACUUCCAGACAUAACUUGUGUGUUAGUGUAUGGAUCUCUCUGACAUUGUACCACAAGAUUCCAUAUCACAAAGGGAACGCUGGGAUUGAUUUUGGGGGUAAUUGCCUCAAAAUAUUAGGAAUUAGGGGCCAAAAAAGGGGCAAAAAACAAGCAUUUUUCUAGUUUCAUGACAAUAACUUGUGUGAAAGUGUAUGGAUCUUUCUGAAAUUGUACUACAAGGUUCCAUAUCACAAAGGGAAAGCUGGAAUUGAGUUUGGGGGUAAUUGCCCGAAACGUUUAGGAAUUGGGGGCUAAAAAGGGGCCAAAAAACACAUUUUUCUAGUUUCCAGACAAUAACUUGUGUUCAAGUGUAUGGAUCUCUCUGAAAUUGUACUGCAAGGUACCAUACCACAAAGGGAAGGCUGGGAUUGAGUUUUGGGGUGAUGAAUCAUAAGGGGGUUGAAAAAAUUUGGGGGGGAUUUUUUUUUUCCUUUUUUUUCUUUUUUUCCUUUUUUUUUCUUUUAAAAUUUUCCAUUUUAAGUUGGUUAUUUCUGAUUUAUUUUCAAAAGCAAAUAAUAAUGAUAUGGUAGGAGAUACACACCAAACAGGAUGUGUAAAUUAUUAUAUAAUAAGUAUUGGGCAAUAGCAAGAAAUUUUCAAUUGCACAGUAUUGCGCAAUAGCAAGAAAUAUCCAAUAGCACAAUAUUGCGCAAUAGCAAGAAAUUGUCAAUUGUGCAGUAUUGCGCAAUAGCAAGAAAUAUUCAAUUGCACAGUAUUGUGCAAAAGAAGAUACUUCGUAUAAAUUGCUUAUUUCUUGACCAAUUUCAAUGGGGUUUUAUUCUUGAAUUCUUGGGGUUCUUUAAUAUGCUGAAUCUAACCGUGUAUUCAGUUUUUGGAUUUUGGGCCCCGUUUUUAAAUUGGUCCACAUUGAGGUCCAAAGGGUCCAAAAUUAAACUUUGUUUGAUUUCAUCAAAAAUUGAAUUAUUGGGGUUCUUUGAUAUGCCGAAUCUAACCGUGUAUUUAGAUUCUUAAUUUUUUGGUUCCGUUUUCAAAUUGGUCUACAUUAAGGUCCAAAGGGUCCAAAAUUAAACUAAGUUUGAUUUUAACAAAAAUUGAAUUCUUAGGGUUCUUUGAUAUGCUGAAUCUAAACAUGUAUUUAGAUUUUUUAUUAUGGGCCCAGUUUUCAAGUUGGUCCAAAUCGGGGUCCAAAAUUAAACA